UUGCAUCAUGAAAUAAAAAGUAUUUAUGAUUUAAUUGGUUUUAUUUAUAAUUCCAAUUAUUAAAGAAAGAUGAGUAAGAAUAUUGUUGGUGUUCUUAACUCAAGAGAAAUGUUUUUAAUUAUUUAUUCAUUAAAAACCCGGCUAAGUGAAUCAUAGAAUGUUAAGCACUACACCAUGACUUAAGAUUAGAUUCAAGGAGACCUAUUAAGAAUAGAAUUUCUUGUAGGCUUUGUGGACCAAGGGGAUUAGCACUGUUUUCCCAAGACAGGUUAUGUGAUUAUGAUCUUCAGGCUUUGCCUAUCCAGGUUGAGCAGUUGAUGGAAUGGAAUGAUGUUGAGCGGGUGUUCCUUUGACAUUUCAAGAAAUAUAACCUUGAGUAUACAUCUUCAUAUGUAUAUCUCACACGUUUUUCCGCUGCAAAACACUUUGAUUAGGAUAACUCUAUGUUAUGAAGUUGUUACACGUGUUAUUGGGUAACCCACCUUAAUCAGUUCUCUUUUAUGUGUAUGUUUUAUAAGUAUCCAAAUGAUCAUAUAUGAUCCUAGCUUUUUAUCUAUAAGUGAUAUUUUCAUAUACUUUAAUGUUAAGUAAUUGUCCAUUUCCA